rnacentral:rRNA from 1 species
GAUGAACGCUGGCGGCGUGCCUAAUACAUGCAAGUCGAGCGAAUGGAUUAAGAGCUUGCUCUUAUGAAGUUAGCGGCGGACGGGUGAGUAACACGUGGGUAACCUGCCCAUAAGACUGGGAUAACUCCGGGAAACCGGGGCUAAUACCGGAUAACAUUUUGAAACGCAUGGUUCGAAAUUGAAAGGCGGCUUCGGCUGUCAAUUAUGGAUGGACCCGCGUCGCAUUAGCUAGUUGGUGAGGUAACGGCUCACCAAGGCAACGAUGCGUAGCCGACCUGAGAGGGUGAUCGGCCACACUGGGACUGAGACACGGCCCAGACUCCUACGGGAGGCAGCAGUAGGGAAUCUUCCGCAAUGGACGAAAGUCUGACGGAGCAACGCCGCGUGAGUGAUGAAGGCUUUCGGGUCGUAGAACUCUGUUGUUAGGGAAGAACAAGUGCUAGUUGAAUAAGCUGGCACCUUGACGGUACCUAACCAGAAAGCCACGGCUAACUACGUGCCAGCCGCCGCAGUAA